AUCAUAUAAUUAUGGUGUGUUCCUUUGGGAUGAGCCAGAUUUUGAUUGGAUGGCCCAGAAGGAUUAUGAUCUCCUUUCAAGGGAAACAACACAAUAAUUGUGCUGUUGGGGGAGGGGGUGGUUGGAGCUUAGGGAAUUAUGUCACAAUGGGGACACCAUGGCAAUUCACUGCACAGGGCCAAUGCAUUUAACAGCAACAUUAUCUCCCCAAUUUUCCCACUUCUCUGCAUCUGAAACAGGCUUCCACAGGGCAAAUACAAGGGACCACAGGGAAGAUGAGGGGUCUCAUCACUGAGAGAAGCUACAGCUUAUAAACCACUUCCCAUUUGCCCCUCCUUGGGAAUGCCAUCCUAACUACUUGGCUCAGUUAUUAAAUAGGGAAAAUAGGUCAUGUGGAGAUCCUGGAUACCUGCCUUUGUGACGAUGCUGCCCUAGCAGGAGACCAGCCUCCUCAUGCCGAUGCUGUGGAUCCUGUUCCUAUAAACAUCUGCCCUAUAAGCAGAAGCUACUCAGAGGACACGCAGAGAGGUUGUAGCCUGUUGUGUGCCAGCAGAAAUCAGUAGUGGUUGCCAGCUGGGUGAAAUAAUGCUGAUCUUUGAUGAACCAAGAGGAAAGAGAACUUUGGAAAGCACACAACUGCCACUGGAUGAAAGCCUCUGAGCCAUCUGGACAGUCAGCUACCAUUGGAGAAAGACGUAAGGAUUUUGACAGAAUUUACAGACCCACACUUGGAAGAUCACUUAUGAGGAGAACUGAGAGAGGGUUUUGGGGAAGAGACUCUUCCCCAGACUGAAGCAGAUCAACACCUAAAUUGAUACAUUCAUGAGAAAGGAGCAGAGACUAGGCUGGACCAGCAAUUGAGAGCUGACAAUUAUAAAGAUAUCCUGUUAGCAUCUUAUUCAUUCCCUUGAUUUCCCAGAGCCCAGGAGAAGCUCUGAUUGUGAUCUCUAUUAAA